CAUGUACGUGUUACAUCUCUCUGCAGGAACCUGCUCAUUUCCCCCUCAGAGGGAGCACAAGAAGACUAAGCUUCAAAAUCAGAAGAUUAAAGUCAAGCAGUGAAAAAUACCCCUUCAAAAUCAGCCACAUAAGCUUGCCAGCAAAUCCAGGAAAAAUCCGAAGGAAAGCCUUCCUGUCUGAUUACAGUGCUUUCAGAUCAGAAGAUUGAAGUCACUCCUCCAGACUAAUUUAGCUUUGUGGUCCAGAAUAAAUCAUUGUUUCAUACAAGUGUGGCUGAAGGA
rnacentral:lncRNA from 1 species